GGGGUUGUGGCUCAAUGGCAGAGUGCUUGCCUAGCAUGCAUGAGGCACUGGGCUCGAUUCUCAGCACCACG
rnacentral:tRNA from 1 species